rnacentral:rRNA from 1 species
AGAGUUUGAUCAUGGCUCAGGAUGAACGCUGGCGGCGUGCCUAACACAUGCAAGUCGAGCGGUCUUCUUCGGAAGAGAGCGGCGGACGGGUGAGUAACGCGUGGGUAACCUACCUCAUACACAUGGAUAACAUACCGAAAGGUAUACUAAUACAAGAUGAUAUAAGAGAUUCGCAUGGAUUUCUUAUUAAAGCUCCGGCGGUAUGAGAUGGACCCGCGUCUGAUUAGCUAGUUGGUAAGGUAACGGCUUACCAAGGUGACGAUCAGUAGCCGACCUGAGAGGGUGAUCGGCCACAUUGGAACUGAGACGCGGUCCAAACUCCUACGGGAGGCAGCAGUGGGGAAUAUUGCACAAUGGGCGAAAGCCUGAUGCAGCAACGCCGCGUGAGCGAUGAAGGCCUUCGGGUCGUAAAGCUCUGUCCUCAAGGAAGAUAAUGACGGUACUUGAGGAGGAAGCCCCGGCUAACUACGUGCCAGCAGCCGCGGUAAUACGUAGGGGGCUAGCGUUAUCCGGAUUUACGGGGCGUAAAGGGUGCGUAGGUGGUUUCUUAAGUCAGGAGUGAAAGGCUACGGCUCAACCGUAGUAAGCUCUUGAAACUGGGAAACUUGAGUGCAGGAGAGGAAAGUGGAAUUCCUAGUGUAGCGGUGAAAUGCGUAGAUAUUAGGAGGAACACCAGUAGCGAAGGCGGCUUUCUGGACUGUAACUGACACUGAGGCACGAAAGCGUGGGGAGCAAACAGGAUUAGAUACCCUGGUAGUCCACGCCGUAAACGAUGAGUACUAGGUGUCGGGGGUUACCCCCCUCGGUGCCGCAGCUAACGCAUUAAGUACUCCGCCUGGGGA